GGGGAGAUGGCUCAGUGGUUAAGAGCACUGACUGCUCUUCCAGAGUUCCUGUGUUCAAUUCCCAGCAACCACA
rnacentral:tRNA from 1 species